GGGGUUGUGGCUCAGUGGUAGAGUGCUUGCCUAGCACACAUGAGGCCCUGGGUUCGAUCCUCAGCACCACA
rnacentral:tRNA from 1 species